AUUGAACGCUGGCGGCAGGCCUAACACAUGCAAGUCGAGCGGAGCGGCGGACGGGUGAGUAAUGCCUAGGAAUCUGCCCGUUAGUGGGGGAUAACGUCCGGAAACGGGCGCUAAUACCGCAUGCUAUCAGAUGACUCUAGGUGGGAUUAGCUAGUUGGUGGGGUAAAGGCCUACCAAGGCGACGAUCCGUAGCUGGUCUGAGAGGAUGAUCAGUCACACUGGAACUGAGACACGGUCCAGACUCCUACGGGAGGCAGCAGUGGGGAAUAUUGCACAAUGGGCGAAAGCCUGAUGCAGCCAUGCCGCGUGUAUGAAGAAGGCCUUCGGGUUGUAAAGUACUUUCGGCGGGGAAGCGGUACCCGAAGAAGAAGCACCGGCUAACUCCGUGCCAGCAGCCGCGGUAAUAC
rnacentral:rRNA from 1 species